GCUACCGAGCUUUGGAGCGGCCCCGGUGCCAUGGAGCAACACAAGGCUGAAAGCUAGAAGCGUCUGGAUGAAGCUGCUCCCUGGCGAAUGAGCCAACAACACUUAUGGAAGGCCCGGUUCAUUUUGAAGAACACCUGGAAUAAAAGCUCCCUCGGCACCAGAUAUGGACGCAGGAUGCUGCCUCGGCUGGUUCAGCUGAAGGCUACAUGGACAGUUUACUCUGCUCACCACCUCGUGGAGGGAUUGAAGAAAAGGUGAAAUGUUGGGAAACUUUGCUGCAAACACACAACAGACUCACAACCACUUCACGGGAUUUUUGUAUCUUAGUCCUGGCAUUAUGCAGAACUGGCCUCAAUAGGAGUAGCUUAAUUCAGGGAUGGCGUUCACACAUGCGUGGAAAUCUUCCUCUUCAUAGGAAGAGGGGUUCAGACAGGCCUGGCAGGAGUCCUCUUUACGGGGUCUCCCCUUUAUUGGAAAAUAACUUUAUUUCUGGGGUUCAGCCGGGCCUGGCAAGAGUCCUCUUUAUGGGGUCUCCCCUCCAUAUGGAAAACUAGGUUUGA